rnacentral:rRNA from 1 species
UACGAAGGGGGCUAGCGUUGCUCGGAAUCACUGGGCGUAAAGGGUGCGUAGGCGGGUUUUUAAGUCAGAGGUGAAAUCCUGGAGCUCAACUCCAGAACUGCCUUUGAUACUGAAAGUCUUGAGUAUGGGAGAGGUGAGUGGAACUGCGAGUGUAGAGGUGAAAUUCGUAGAUAUUCGCAAGAACACCAGUGGCGAAGGCGGCUCACUGGCCCAUUACUGACGCUGAGGUGCGAAAGCGUGGGGAGCAAACAGG